AAGAAACCCAGACCAGAGGCACCAUAUAAAGCGAGAGCAAGUGUUACCCACUUUUUACUUACUACGGACUUUCACUUUGAGGGCCCAGUAGAUCUUUCCUUCAGGCAAGGGGAUCGACUUUGGAAAGCGAAGCGGUACUUCAUAUUCACCACAUGUGGACAGGGGGGAUGGUAAAUUCAGAUUUUCGGGCGCAAUUUGAACAGAAAAUUGUCGUGCCACCUCAGCAACAAUGUCAUCUACUGUCACAGAAGAUUGCAAAGUUAAGGGCUCGUCUUUUGUAGCACGAGUACGAAACUUUUCCUUGUCAAUUAACCUCCUCAACACCAGCUGAAUACUAUCCAGACGUUUUGCUGCCUUUUCAUAUUCUUUCAUCUUAUCCUCCUUCGUCACCAUUACAACCUUAACGACCUCUUCGUCAACUGGUUGGUAAAUCCUGCGUUGCUCCUUGAUCAGAUAAGCAUACUUGUCAAUGUUUGGAACAGCCAACAACUUGGGCAUAAGAUGGUUCCGAAAGUAUCCAGGGGCAACCUUAACCGUCUCUCCAGCUUUCCCAAGCUUCUCAAUGCUUGUUGUCAGAAUAACUUCCAACUUCCUAUGUCUAACUCCCUGACUCGAGAAUAACAAUGGCUGCAUCAUUUGAUCAGAAGGGUGAAGCCUGGUAUUUUUAAUAAUUUUCUGGAGUGCAUUUCUACCAUACUAUUUUUUACUCA
rnacentral:misc_RNA from 1 species